rnacentral:tRNA from 1 species
AGGGUUGUAGUUCAGUGAUAGAAUAUUUGCCUAGCAUGUGAAAUACCCUGGAUUCAAUUCCCAGCAACACAA